CCGUGCUAGACAGAACAUGGUGAUGGUCACCAGGGCUGCUGCUGGCUGGAAACUGAUGGUACAUCCAGGUGGACCCUCAUGGCUUAUUGUGGGAAGUCAUUGCCUUCGUG